CGGUUGAUCCUGCCGGAGGCCACUGCUAUUGGAGUUCGAUUAAGCCAUGCGAGUUCAGGGGGGCUUUGCCCACCGGCGGACGGCUCAGUAACACGUGGACAACCUGCCCUCGGGAGGGGGAUAACCCCUGGAAACUGGGACCAAACCCCCAUAGGUCACAGAUGCUGGAAGGCACUGUGACUCAAAUUCCUUCGGGAGCCCGAGGAUGGGUCUGCGGCCUAUCAGGUUGUAGUUAGGGUAACGGCCUAACUAGCCUACGACGGGUACGGGGUGUGAGAGCACUAGCCCGGAGAUGGACUCUGGGACACGAGUCCAGGCCCUACGGGGCGCAGCAGGCGCGAAACCUCCGCAAUGCGGGCAACCGCGACGGGGGGACCCCCAGUGCCGUGGCAUCGCCACGGCUUUUCCGGAGUGUAAAGAGCUCCGGGAAUAAGGGCUGGGCAAGGCCGGUGGCAGCCGCCGCGGUAAUACCGGCGGCCCGAGUGGUGGCCGCUAUUAUUGGGCCUAAAGCGUCCGUAGCCGGGCCCGUAAGUCCCUGGCGAAAUCCCACGGCUCAACCGUGGGGCUUGCUGGGGAUACUGCAGGCCUUGGGACCGGGAGAGGCCGGGGGUACCCCUGGGGUAGGGGUGAAAU
rnacentral:rRNA from 1 species